AGGGGACGGGACCUCAGUGGCACUGCUCUUUUAAAAUUUUAAAUCUUUUCCCCAAAAUAUCAAAUACAAAACCGCCCAAUCUGGCAACCCUGUGGAGACUAUCCUGUAUCUUGCAUCUUCUGUUUUCCUCUGGUUUCUAAAGUAAAUGUGGUUUAGAAUAGUCGUACAGUGUAUGACUAGCAGGACAGGAUGUCUGGUAAAGGUAAAGAUGACCUGAUAAAAUGUAGAUCUGUUAGAGGAGGGACCCUUUUUUUCUCAUUUGAGACAGGUUCUCCAGUUGUACUCGAGUCUUGCCCGUUUUCCCUGACUUCCCUGGAGCUAUGAGCAGCUUAAUGGAGGUGGACUCCCAGCUGUGAAUUUAUCACGGAACUCCAGCAUCCUGCUUCGCUGGCCAGUAAGAACCACAGCAGCUGCUGCCUCCCGCCCUCAGAUGGAAGAGCAGAAGAAGAAAACUUGUCUCUUUUCCAUCUUCACUUUCUAACAGAGGACGAGUGUCCAGUCUGGAACUGGUAUGGAGCAGUAGCGUAAUGGAGUACCACCAAGCUGCUUCACUAGUCAGCAGAAGGAUGAUACGUCUGGAUGUGCCUGGAGGAGCCUCUGGGUUUUGGUUCCAUGCUCCCUGUCUGCUUUGGCUCUGGGUUCUGGGAUCUCCAGCCACCGCAUAUUUCAUGCAGGACUCGAAGGCUGUCCUGAAUGGUUGCGGUGACUUCUGGACCCUGCAGGACCAUUGGAGCAUCCCGGUGCUGUUCCAAAUGACCGUUUGUGUGGACGUGAAUGUGGUGGCCGAGGGGGAAUGGACGGCGUUCACCUAUAACUCUCCACACACCCCACGGCAUGACCUGGCCUUGCAAGGGGACCCCGAGUUCCUCUACGUCUGGCUCCUGGGGGUCAAGCACCGCUUCCCAGUGCGCCUGUCCCCCCAGCGCUGGCAUCAGAUCUGCCUGCAGCGGGACUCCCGGCACGACCGCUUCCGUCUGGAAGUGGGCGGGGACCCCGGCACGUACGAGCGCAUGGUCGUCGCACACGCCAUUCCCCCGUCGGGCCAGCUGCUGCUCGGCUGUCGGCCGCAGGACGCCACACCGGGAUCCAGUCAGGGGAGGGUGGAGCUCUACCUCUUCCGCAUGUGGGCCGACGUGCAGGACCACCACUCCUGUGAAGAUGGCACAGUGGUGGGCUGGGACUCGCGCCUCUGGGGAAUCACGGUCCCACGUGCGAGGGCCCACGAUGAAGCUCUGCACUGCGCACAGACCACAGGGGGCAGAGUUGCCAUGGCGGUGCCAGAAGUGGCAAGCUCAGCCACGCCCCCCUUUCAGACUGGCCCGACCCCUAAAGAACCACCAGCCACACCCAUCGAGGCCACUGCAGCCACUCUGACCACCCCUUUCACACCAACUGGACCAUCUUCAUCCAAGCAGAUUACAGGCCGGACUCGGGUGAAACGUGCUAAAGAGGACAAUGACCAUCACAGUACAUAUGCUGUGUUUUUGAACAUCACAAAUCCCAACACAACUAUCACAGAUAUUCAGAACAUGGUAUGUAUUUUCUGUGUGCGUGUGUAUAUGAAUUAUUGUUUUCCAUUUACCUUUUCUCUUUCUGAUUUCCAGAUCUGCAAUAUGAGUUCGUACUGUGAUGUUCAGUAUGUAACACACACACACACACACACACACACAGCUCAAAAACACUACACCACCAGUCACAUUCCACUCAUGUGUGUUCCUACAGAAACGCGUGUACAAGCAACACAAGUCAAGCAUGGAAUAACUUUCAGG
ensembl:lncRNA